rnacentral:rRNA from 1 species
AGUUUUAUGAGAAUAUAUAAAAUGAAUUCUGCCCAAUGAUUAGUUUAAUGGCCGCAGUACUUUAACUGUGCUAAGGUAGCAUAAUAAUUUGGCUUUUAAUUAAGGUCUGGUAUGAAAGGAUUUUAUGGGUAAUAACUGUCUUUAUUUAACUUUUAAAAAUUUACUUAAAAGGUGAAAAUUCCUUUAAUAUUAAAAUAGACGAGAAGACCCUAGGAGUUUUCAUUUUGUUGGGGCGACAUUUUAGUAAAUAACCUAAGAAAAAAAUUUGACGAAUAUAUCAAUUAUAAAUAAACUACCCUAGGGAUAACAGCAUAAUAAUAUUUUUUGUUUGUGACCUCGAUGUUGGACUAGG